rnacentral:rRNA from 1 species
UACGUAGGGUCCAAGCGUUAAUCGGAAUUACUGGGCGUAAAGCGUGCGCAGGCGGUUGGGGAAGCCAGAUGUGAAAUCCCCGGGCUUAACCUGGGAAUGGCAUUUGGGACUGCACGGCUAGAGUACGGCAGAGGAGACUAGAAUUCCUGGUGUAGCAGUGAAAUGCGUAGAUAUCAGGAGGAAUACCGAUGGCGAAGGCAGGUCUCUGGGUCGAUACUGACGCUCAUGCACGAAAGCGUGGGGAGCAAACAGG